rnacentral:rRNA from 1 species
GAUGAACGCUGGCGGCGUGCCUAAUACAUGCAAGUCGAGCGAACGGACGAGAAGCUUGCUUCUCUGAUGUUAGCGGCGGACGGGUGAGUAACACGUGGAUAACCUACCUAUAAGACUGGGAUAACUUCGGGAAACCGUAGCUAAUACCGGAUAAUAUUUUGAACCGCAUGGUUCAAAAGUGAAAGACGGUCUUGCUGUCACUUAUAGAUGGAUCCGCGCUGCAUUAGCUAGUUGGUAAGGUAACGGCUUACCAAGGCAACGAUGCAUAGCCGACCUGAGAGGGUGAUCGGCCACACUGGAACUGAGACACGGUCCAGACUCCUACGGGAGGCAGCAGUAGGGAAUCUUCCGCAAUGGGCGAAAGCCUGACGGAGCAACGCCGCGUGAGUGAUGAAGGUCUUCGGAUCGUAAAACUCUGUUAUUAGGGAAGAACAUAUGUGUAAGUAACUGUGCACAUCUUGACGGUACCGAAUCAGAAAGCAACGGCUAACUACGUG